AAUCCACCCUAUCUCGUCUGAUCUUGGAAGCUAAG
rnacentral:rRNA from 10 species